rnacentral:lncRNA from 1 species
CGGCCGCAGCGAUUGGGCGGUGGUGUGGGAGCCCCGGGCACCGGGGAGAACACGUGCUGUUCUGCGCCUUCUUUGGGAUGCAUCACGCGGCUCCCGAGCCCAGACUUCGUCCAGGCCGGCGGGAAGGGGUCAGCGGAGCCGCUAGCUGCCUCUUUGUGCCCCGCAACCCCGCGGGCGGUUGAUUUCCACCUGUGGGCGCUGGGGACACGCGACCGGAAGAAAUGGAAGAGAAAACGGGGUUCGGGGAGGGAGGAAAACUUCUAAGCCAGGCGAUCGUCCAGUUCUCUCUCCAAGAGACUGGAAAUUAACUUUAUGAGGAUCAUAAGGAAGGGAAUGACCUCUAGACAGCCGCCUUCUAAUUGUGAAACGGGGGAAGAUCUUGGACCUGGUCUCUGGAGCGCUCCCUAUCUUAACCAAGUCACUUACUCUAGCAGGUCUCAGGUUCUUUGUCUGUAAAAUGAGGGUGUAAAAUAAUGAUCUUUCUAGACCCUACGAGCUCUGAAGGAUCUCUGAUUGGUGGAGAUCACCCAAGACCCGGAGCUGAUGCAAAACAUUACCUACCAUUCCCUUGUCUGAAAAGCCACAUCAACUUUCUUUUUUCAAAAACUAUAUUUUUAGUAUGUGUAAAGUAAGUUUGGAGUAAAUACUUUCAAGUCCUUUUCAAGGUCAAAACAAAAACUAAUUCUGUGACUACAAAUGUAUGCUUUUUUUUUUUUUUUUGAGACAGAGUCUCGCUCUGUCCAAAUGUAUGCAUUUUUAAUGGAGUAAAUUAAAAAAAAAAACCUUUGUUUAAAAUUUACUUUCAGCAAAAGUCAGCAUUAUUUUUUCAACUUAAAACCUUUUUGGGUUUUAAGUUGAAACAGGUUUUUUAGCUGUCUGGCCCAAAUCCAAAAUACGUAUAUCUUGGUGGGGAACUUCAAUUUGUCUCUGCCAUAAGACAAACGAAUGUCCUGAUACUUUUUGAUUCUUUAACAAAAUUAUCCUUGUAUUCUUAGGUUUAUAUAUUCACUAACAUUUAACAUAACACAAAUCUGUUACGUGAAUUAAAGACACACAAAGGCAUUUUUACCAGUGUUUGGAAGUUUGUGAAUAGUAAAGGGGAACAGGCCAAAAUUUCAUGCGUUGAGGAUAUAAGUAAAACAGAAAGUGCAAAAAUGUAAACUACACAAACUCAAUCUCUUGUGGAACAAUUAGAAAACUAAUAAUACAUUUUACUCUUGAAUGUUGAUAUUCCACUCGAAGUUUGGUUGGUUGCUAAGCUUAAGGAUAAACACUAUGAAAAAUGUGAAGACAGAAGGGCUGGCCAAACACAGCUGAUUCGGCAGCAAAUCACACAUUAAAUCACAGUGGCAUGUGAGUCGGUUUAUUCAAAUUGCUGUUAAAAGAUAUUCUUAGAGUAAGUUUAGGAAAAUAAGAGUCAUUUGGCGAUGCAGAGAGGAUUUUGUCUACAGUGGAAUCCAGACUCCGGUGAAAGUUCUCAUUCCUUCAGGACCUGGGAGCUAACAGCUCCGGACUUUCUUGUGCUCCACUGUGCUGCCUAUGUUGUGUGCUUCCCAAAUGGCAUUAUUCCCACCAGCUCUUCCAGAGUGAGUUCUGCCCAUUCUGUAGAAGAAACAGUAGCGGAAAAAUUAAACAAUAUCUUUGCUCAA